rnacentral:tRNA from 2 species
UCGGGUGUCGUCUAACGGUAGGACGAAUGACUCUGACUCAUUUAAUCGUGGUUCGAAUCCAUGCACCCGAGCCA